CAUGCGAGUCGAGCGGUAGAGAGAAGCUUGCUUCUCUUGAGAGCGGCGGACGGGUGAGUAAUGCCUAGGAAUCUGCCUGGUAGUGGGGGAUAACGUUCGGAAACGGACGCUAAUACCGCACACGUCCUACGGGAGAAAGCAGGGGACCUUCGGGCCUUGCGCUAUCAGAUGAGCCUAGGUCGGAUUAGCUAGUUGGUGGGGUAAUGGCUCACCAAGGCGACGAUCCGUAACUGGUCUGAGAGGAUGAUCAGUCACACUGGAACUGAGACACGGUCCAGACUCCUACGGGAGGCAGCAGUGGGGAAUAUUGGACAAUGGGCGAAAGCCUGAUCCAGCCAUGCCGCGUGUGUGAAGAAGGUCUUCGGAUUGUAAAGCACUUUAAGUUGGGAGGAAGGGCAGUUACCUAAUACGUGAUUGUUUUGACGUUACCGACAGAAUAAGCACCGGCUAACUCUGUGCCAGCAGCCGCGGUAAUACAGAGGGUGCAAGCGUUAAUCGGAAUUACUGGGCGUAAAGCGCGCGUAGGUGGUUUGUUAAGUUGGAUGUGAAAUCCCCGGGCUCAACCUGGGAACUGCAUUCAAAACUGACUGACUAGAGUAUGGUAGAGGGUGGUGGAAUUUCCUGUGAUCGG
rnacentral:rRNA from 1 species